GAUGAACGCUGGCGGCGUGCCUAACACAUGCAAGUCGAACGGUAACAGGUUCUCACUAUGCUUUUGAAGUUUUCGAAGGUUUAGUGAGAAUGCUGACGAGUGGCGGACGGCUGAGUAACGCGUGGGAACGUGCCCCAAAGUGAGGGAUAAGCACCGGAAACGGUGUCUAAUACCGCAUAUGAUCUUCGGAUUAAAGCAGCAAUGCGCUUUGGGAGCGGCCUGCGUCGGAUUAGGUUGUUGGUGAGGUAAUGGCUCACCAAGCCGACGAUCCGUAGCUGGUCUGAGAGGAUGACCAGCCAGACUGGAACUGAGACACGGUCCAGACUCCUACGGGAGGCAGCAGUGAGGAAUCUUCCACAAUGGGGGCAACCCUGAUGGAGCAACGCCGCGUGCAGGAUGAAGGCCUUCGGGUCGUAAACUGCUUUUAUAAGUGAGGAAUAUGACGGUAACUUAUGAAUAAGGAUCGGCUAACUACGUG
rnacentral:rRNA from 1 species